GCAGUAUACAAGAUCAAUAUACAAAAACCAAUUGUGGCCUGCCUGGGUGGUUCAGUUGGUUAAGUGGCUGCCUUUGGCUCAGGUUGUGAUCUUGCGGUCCUGGGAUCGGGGUCCUGGGAUCUAGCCCUGCAUCAGGGUCCCUGCUCAAUGGGGAGUCUGCUUCUCCCUCUAACCUUCCUCUCGUUCAUCCGUUCUCUCUCUCAAAAUGAUAAAAUCUUAAAAAAGCUAACUGCAUUCUAGACAUUCGCAAGAAAUAAAUCUGAAAAUGAAAUUAAGAAAAUCGUCCCACUUAAAAGGACAUCAAAAAGUAUAAAUACUUAGAAAUAAACGGAACAAAAGAAGAACAAGACUUGCCCACUGAAAACUACAAAAUCUCAUUGGAAUUAAGAUGUAAAUAAAUGGGAAGACACCACGUGUUCAAAAAUUGUAAUAGUAUAGUUAAGACGGCAAUAUUCUUUUUUUUUUUUUUAAGAUUUUUAUUUAUUUAUUUGAGAGAGAGAGAGAGAGAACAUGAGAGGAGAGAAGUCAGCAGGAGAAGCAGACUCCCUGCUGAGCAGGGAGCCCGAUGUGGGCCUCGAUCCCAGGACUCCAGGAUCUUGACCCAAGCCGAAGGCAGUCCCCUAACCAACUGAGCCACCCAGGUGCCCAAGAUGUCACUAUUCUCCAUCUUACGUUUCCAGCUGAUCUACAGAUCAGCACAAUCUCUAUCAAGAUCUGCGGGAAACCGUUAAUAGAGCAGGCCCAGGAAUACUAUCAUUUCAAAACCCAGCUUCCAAGCUUGGCCCUUGGCUAGGAUCUGGGAAUUUGUGUUUGGGGAGGGUUCCACCACCCCAACUGAUAGGAGUAGCUCGGUGUGUCUAAACUUUAUGCAAACAACAUAGCUUACCGGCUUUCCUCCUGGGAAUAUGGAAUUUUGCUAGGCACUAGGCAGAAGGUGUCUGCAUGACAAGCUGCCUAAAAAACCUUUGGCGCAGUCUCUAAUGAGCUUCUCUCAUAGAUAACGUUUCACAGACAUCAUAACUCGUUACUGGGAAGUAAUGCUAAGUCAAGCUGGUCACAAAAGACCUUCGAUUGUAUGAUACUUUCUCUAGAUGUCCAGAACAGGCAAAUCCACAGAAGAGCAUCUACUACAUGUGAAGUCUGGAGUGUUGGAGCCAACUGGGCUGUUCAAUCAGGCAGUCUUUGAGUUGAACCUCUGAGUUGAACCUCACCGUUGCUACUUACCACCAGCACUGGGAUCACCUGAGGACUUCCAGCAAUGCAAAUUCUUGACCCAAUGAAUCAGAGACUUUGGGAAUGAGCUCUAGCAAUCUGCGUUUCCACAGCCCUCCAGCGGGAGGAGGAGCAGAGGGAGAGGGAAAAAGAGAAUCUGCAGCAGACUCCGUGUGGAGCACAGAGCCCAAAGCCGGCUCCAUCUCACAUCUGGAGACCAUGACCUGAGCCAAAAUCAAGAGUCGGACACUCAACUGACUGAGCCACCCAGCUAUCCCUAUGUUGGCUAUCAUUACUAUUAUUAUAAGCUAUUAUUAUCACCGGAAUAUGAAUUAUAAGCAAUUUUCCAAGUUCAUAUAAUUAUUGGGGAACAAGAUAUGGAAAGCUGGAUUAUCAAUGUAGAAUAUGUUCACAACAAAACUUUUUAAAGUCCCAAGAUGUACCAUUAUACAAAGUUUUAAGAAGAAUUUUAAAAUACUCUUGCUCUGAGACUUAAGACUACGUCGCAGCUGCACUACCCGCCCCACAGCUGCCUUUGAGUAGAAACCAAAGUGACUGCAAAAGGUCACAAGGUUCUGCCUUAUGGUUAAAAAGAGGAAAAAGUGAUGUGGAAAACAAAAGUAGUGCUGGGCCACACUUAAUAAAAAAGCAGCUAUAAAUGUUUGGGGGCUAAUGUCCACCAAGAGGAAAGUUCCGAUAGCAGCCCCUGGCUGGCUCAGUCGGAAAAGCGUGCACCUUUUGAUCUCAAGGUCAUGAGUUUGAACCUCACUUUGGAUAGAAAGGUCACUUAAGUUAAUAAAACUUAAAAAAGAAAAAAAUAAAGAUAAGUUCUAUUAGCAUAUACCUGUGGUCCUGUUGAUGUCGUUUUGGCAUGUAGGUGAGAGCUGAAGGCCAAGAAAGAACUCUUGACGGGCGCCUGGGUGGCUCAGUGGGUUAAGCCGCUGCCUUUGGCUCAGGUCGUGAUCUCAGGGUCCUGGGAUCAAGUC